rnacentral:rRNA from 1 species
GAUGAACGCUGGCGGCGUGCCUAAUACAUGCAAGUCGAGCGAACGGACGAGAAGCUUGCUUCUCUGAUGUUAGCGGCGGACGGGUGAGUAACACGUGGAUAACCCACCUAUAAGACUGGGAUAACUUCGGGAAACCGGAGCUAAUACCGGAUGAUAUUUUGAACCGCAUGGUUCAAAAGUGAAAGACGGUCUUGCUGUCACUUAUAGAUGGAUCCGCGCUGCAUUAGCUAGUUGGUAAGGUAACGGCUUACCAAGGCAACGAUGCAUAGCCGACCUGAGAGGGUGAUCGGCCACCCUGGAACUGAGACACGGUCCAGACUCCUACGGGAGGCAGCAGUAGGGAAUCUUCCGCAAUGGGCGGAAGCCUGACGGAGCAACGCCGCGUGAGUGAUGAAGGUCUUCGGAUCGUAAAACUCUGUUAUUAGGGAAGAACAUAUGUGUAAGUAACUGUGCACAUCUUGACGGUACCUAAUCAGAAAGCCACGGCUAACUACGUG